ACUCCUGCGGGAGGCAGCAGUGGGGAAUUUUGGACAAUGGGCGAAAGCCUGAUCCAGCAAUGCCGCGUGUGUGAAGAAGGCCUUCGGGUUGUAAAGCACUUUUGUCCGGAAAGAAAUCCUUGGCUCUAAUACAGUCGGGGGAUGACGGUACCGGAAGAAUAAGCACCGGCUAACUACGUGCCAGCAGCAGCGGUAAUACGUAGGGUGCGAGCGUUAAUCGGAAUUACUGGGCGUAAAGCGUGCGCAGGCGGUUUGCUAAGACCGAUGUGAAAUCCCCGGGCUCAACCUGGGAACUGCAUUGGUGACUGGCAGGCUAGAGUAUGGCAGAGGGGGGUAGAAUUCCACGUGUAGCAGUGAAAUGCGUAGAGAUGUGGAGGAAUACCGAUGGCGAAGGCAGCCCCCUGGGCCAAUACUGACGCUCAUGCACGAAAGCGUGGGGAGCAAACAGGAUUAGAUACCCCAGUAGUCCC
rnacentral:rRNA from 1 species